rnacentral:misc_RNA from 1 species
GAUGAAGAACGUAGUGAAAUGCGAUAACUAAUGUGAAUUGCAGAAUUCCGUGAAUCAUCGAGUCUUUGAACGCACAUUGCGCCCCCUGGUAUUCCGGGGGGCAUGCCUGUCCGAGCGUCAUUGCUGCCCAUCAAGCACGGCUAGUGUGUUGGGUCCUCGUCCCCCCCGGGGGACGUGCCCGAAAGGCAGCGGCGGCACCGCGUCCGGUCCUCGAGCGUAUGGGGCUUUGUCACCCGCUCUGCAGGCCCGGCCGGCGCUGGCCGACGCGAAAGCAACCAUUUUUUCUCCAGGUUGACCUCGGAUCAGGUAGGGAUACCCGCUGAACUUAAGCAUAUCAAUAAGCGGAGGA